GGUCGGGUAGCUCAGUAGGUAGAGCACGCGACUGAAAAUCGCGGUGUCGGCAGUUCGAUUCUGCCCCCGACCACCA
rnacentral:tRNA from 1 species